rnacentral:rRNA from 1 species
CAUGCAAGUCGAGCGAGAAGCUAACUUCGGUCGGUGGACAGCGGCGCACGGGUGAGUAACGCGUGGGAAUUUACCUUUCGGCGGGGGACAACAGUUGGAAACGACUGCUAAUACCGCAUACGCCCUACGGGGGAAAGAUUUAUCACCGAAAGAUAAGCCCGCGUUAGAUUAGGUAGUUGGUAGGGUCAAAGCCUACCAAGCCGACGAUCUAUAGCUGGUUUGAGAGAACGAUCAGCCACACUGGAACUGAGACACGGUCCAGACUCCUACGGGAGGCAGCAGUGGGGAAUCUUGCACAAUGGGCGAAAGCCUGAUGCAGCCAUGCCGCGUGAGUGAGAAGGCCUUCGGGUUGUAAAACUCUUUUAGAUGUGAAGAUGAUGACGGUAACAUCAGAAAAAGCACCGGCUAACUUCGUGCCAGCAGCCGCGGUAAUACGAAGGGUGCUAGCGUUGUUCGGAAUUACUGGGCGUAAAGAGCGUGUAGGCGGCUUAGCAAGUUAGAGGUGAAAUCCCAGGGCUCAACCCUGGAACUGCCUUUGAUACUGCUAAGCUUGAGAUCGUGAGGGGAUAGCGGAAUACCCAGUGUAGAGGUGAAAUUCGU